rnacentral:lncRNA from 13 species
AACCACUCCACCUGGAAUAAACAACAUUAUGGGACUGAAACCAUUCCACCUGGAAUAAACAACAUUAUGGGACUGAAACCAUUCCACCUGGAAUAAACAACAUUAUGGGACUGAAACCAUUCCACCUGGAAUAAACAACAUUAUGGGACUGAAACCAUUCCACCUGGAAUAAAAAUGAAAAUAAAAACAUUCAAUCAUGUAUGUAUUGUUGUUGACAAAGUGCGCAUGCACACAAUACAUAGAUUAGAUACAAAUAUAAGACAGAUUCUUGUAAAUUGCUUGUACAUUUUCAGGCACACGACACAAUUAAGGCUCAAAAUGUCUGACACUGGCAGAACGUAGACGGGGCCUACGACCGCACGUAGUGGUAAUCAGCAGACACUGAACGAGGAGCCAAGACGUAGAGGUACUUAAUCAGCAGACCUAGACUCUGUCACACUGAACCAGCCAAGACGUAGUGGUACUGAAUCAGCAGACCUAGACCUUGUCUCACUGAACCAGCCAAGACUUCCAACAGUCGUUUACGUACGACCUGAAUUUGCCCACGACGUGGAGAUUUUGUCUGAGAUGGCAAAAUCGUGGCAUAGUGGUGCGUUCACCACACCUGGGAACUCAGAAAAAUACGAUGUCAAAUCAUGACAUUAAGUGAUCUUCAGGUCGGAAAGUCUGAGCUCCAGAAAGAGGCCAGAGUUCCCGAGUUGGAAUUCGGAGUUGUUUGACAGUUCAAAACGAUUUUCCCAGUCUGAGCUAGUUUUUUUCGGAGUUCCCAGUUGUCUUGAACACACCGAGGUCUGAGAUGUCCGUGUUCCCAUUUGUUUUGAACGCGGCAUAAAAUGGUUAAAAUCAUUGUUUAUGCAUGGUGUCCUCUGCCCAGAUGCUGGUUCAAUGUGUAGCUAGCUAGCUAAACUUAACAUUUUCGCCAAAGUGCUGUUUUCAGCAAGAACACUUUAAUUCAAAGAUGGUGGAAAAAUAAGAUGGUUUACUUAGGCCGUUUACCACUGAAGAAAAAUUGUCAGUUUUCCUGUCUGUGUCGGUGGGCAUUUCCUCUGUCAUGUGAGGACUGCUUUCUGCUCCUCCAUGAUAUCUGGCUUCCAGUUGGCUCUGGUCUACUUAUCGAGGGAGUUAUUUUACGCUCAGUUAUUGGGGCAAAGCGGGGAGGGUGGAGCUCCCUUCACAAAUCAAACAGUGUGAGGGAUAUACCAAGACUCAUCUUGAGACAAGACAGGAUAGAAGACCGGCUGGAAUACAACCUUCCUCAGAACCACACAGUCUUCUUCCAACCAGAAGAUGGUGAUGAGCUGUACGUUGGAGGCACAGACUUUGUCUUUCAGAUUGAUGUGGAGUACAGUCGAAUCGUAGAGGUUGGUAUACACAGUCUCUGUUCCCUUUCCUUCCCUCCCCUAUUAGAUCACAGUUAGCCCCC